rnacentral:rRNA from 1 species
AAAGGAAUUGACGGGGACCCGCACAAGCGGUGGAUGAUGUGGUUUAAUUCGAUGCAACGCGAAAACCUUACCCACCUUUGACAUGGCAGGAAUCCCGAAGAGAUUUGGGAGUGCUCGAAAGAGAACCUGCACACAGGUGCUGCAUGGCUGUCGUCAGCUCGUGUCGUGAGAUGUUGGGUUAAGUCCCGCAACGAGCGCAACCCUUGCCAUUAGUUGCUACGAAAGGGCACUCUAAUGGGACUGCCGGUGACAAACCGGAGGAAGGUGGGGAUGACGUCAAGUCCUCAUGGCCCUUAUAGGUGGGGCUACACACGUCAUACAAUGGCCGGUACAGAGGGUAGCCAACCCGCGAGGGGGAGCCAAUCCCACAAAGCCGGUCGUAGUCCGGAUCGCAGUCUGCAACUCGACUGCGUGAAGUCGGAAUCGCUAGUAAUCGCGGAUCAGCAUGUCGCGGUGAAUACGUUCCCGGGUCUU